CGGAGAGGGCGCAUGAUACACCUUUACCACAUCCAAGGAAGGCAGCAGGUUGCGCAAAUUACCCAAUCCCGACACGGGGAGGUAGUGACAAUAUGUAACAAUAUACGGUUUUAUUGUCGUAUAAUUGGAAUGAGUACAAUUUAAAUCCCUUAACGAGGAACAAUUGGAGGGCAAGUCUGGUGCCAGCAGCCGCGGUAAUUCCAGCUCCAAUAGCGCAUAUUAAAGUUGUUGCAAUUAAAAAGCUCGUAAUUGGACCUUGUUCCUGAACAGGAGGACCGCCUCACGGCGUGUACUGUCUUGCUGGGCCUUUCCUCUUGAUGAUCUGUGGUUUCGACCGCAUGGAACCAGGACCUUUACUUUGAAAAAAUUAGAGUGUUCUCAGCAAGCUUUACGCCAGAAUAUAUUAGCAUGGAAAAAUAAAAUAGGACGUGCGGUUCUAUUUUGUUGGUUUUUGGAAUCGCCGUACUGAUUAAAAGGGACAGUCGGGGGCAUUAGUAUUCACAUGCUAGAGGUUAAAUUCUUGGAUU
rnacentral:rRNA from 1 species